CCUGUGAGGGUUGCUGGAGGUAUCAGAAGUGCGAAUGCUGACAUAAGUAACGAUAAAGCGGGUGAAAAGCCCGCUCGCCGGAAGACCAAGGGUUCCUGUCCAACGUUAAUCGGGGCAGGGUGAGUCGACCCCUAAGGCGAGGCCGAAAGGCGUAGUCGAUGGGAAACAGGUUAAUAUUCCUGUACUUGGUGUUACUGCGAAGGGGGGACGGAGAAGGCUAUGUUAGCCGGGCGACGGUUGUCCCGGUUUAAGCAUGUAGGCUGGUUAUCCAGGCAAAUCCGGAUAAUCAAGGCUGAGGUGUGAUGACGAGGCACUACGGUGCUGAAGUAACAAAUGCCCUGCUUCCAGGAAAAGCCUCUAAGCAUCAGGUAACAUCAAAUCGUACCCCAAACCGACACAGGUGGUCAGGUAGAGAAUACCAAGGCGCUUGAGAGAACUCGGGUGAAGGAACUAGGCAAAAUGGUGCCGUAACUUCGGGAGAAGGCACGCUGGUGUGUAGGUGAAGUCCCUGCGGAUGGAGCUGAGACCAGUCGAAGAUACCAGCUGGCUGCAACUGUUUAUUAAAAACACAGCACUGUGCAAACACGAAAGUGGACGUAUACGGUGUGACGCCUGCCCGGUGCCGGAAGGUUAAUUGAUGGGGUUAUCCGUAAGGAGAAGCUCUUGAUCGAAGCCCCGGUAAACGGCGGCCGUAACUAUAACGGUCCUAAGGUAGCGAAAUUCCUUGUCGGGUAAGUUCCGACCUGCACGAAUGGCGUAAUGAUGGCCAGGCUGUCUCCACCCGAGACUCAGUGAAAUUGAACUCGCUGUGAAGAUGCAGUGUACCCGCGGCAAGACGGAAAGACCCCGUGAACCUUUACUAUAGCUUGACACUGAACAUUGAGCCUUGAUGUGUAGGAUAGGUGGGAGGCUUUGAAGCGUGGACGCCAGUCUGCGUGGAGCCAACCUUGAAAUACCACCCUUUAAUGUUUGAUGUUCUAACGUUGGCCCCUUAUCGGGGUUGCGGACAGUGUCUGGUGGGUAGUUUGACUGGGGCGGUCUCCUCCCAAAGCGUAACGGAGGAGCACGAAGGUUAGCUAAUCCUGGUCGGACAUCAGGAGGUUAGUGCAAUGGCAUAAGCUAGCUUGACUGCGAGCGUGACGGCGCGAGCAGGUGCGAAAGCAGGUCAUAGUGAUCCGGUGGUUCUGAAUGGAAGGGCCAUCGCUCAACGGAUAAAAGGUACUCCGGGGAUAACAGGCUGAUACCGCCCAAGAGUUCAUAUCGACGGCGGUGUUUGGCACCUCGAUGUCGGCUCAUCACAUCCUGGGGCUGAAGUAGGUCCCAAGGGUAUGGCUGUUCGCCAUUUAAAGUGGUACGCGAGCUGGGUUUAGAACGUCGUGAGACAGUUCGGUCCCUAUCUGCCGUGGGCGCUGGAGAAUUGAGGGGGGCUGCUCCUAGUACGAGAGGACCGGAGUGGACGCAUCACUGGUGUUCGGGUUGUCAUGCCAAUGGCACUGCCCGGUAGCUAAAUGCGGAAGAGAUAAGUGCUGAAAGCAUCUAAGCACGAAACUUGCCCCGAGAUGAGUUCUCCCUGAGACUUUAAGUCUCCUGAAGGAACGUUAAAGACGAUGACGUUGAUAGGCCGGGUGUGUAAGCGCAGCGAUGCGUUGAGCUAACCGGUACUAAUGAACCGUGAGGCUUAACCUU
rnacentral:rRNA from 1 species